GCUGUGACUUUGAACUUGUGGUGUUUAAGCGGAACUAUUUAACAGGAUCGAAAGAGUCCACCGGAUGAGAGCGGAAGUGUUGGACAAGGGACGCCGCACGCGGACGCUGCUCAGGGCUCGCAAACACGCGAGUGAACGGAGUGGCUGCUGGUUCACUCACUGCCCGGGAAGGUGGAUCGAUCAGUGAAGCUAUACUGACUGGGAGAACGGGGGAGUCGACUCGCCCUUCCACAAACUUAAGUAUCCGGUGUGUAAUCCAGUUCUGAACGAGUUGCUGUUUGUGGGAAGCGGAGCUGCUUUGUGUUUAUGCGAGCGUGUCCCCCGUGUCUUGUCGCAGCGCGCUGGAAACCACGUGGCCCUGUAGCUGAUGUGAGAACGUGAAAGACUCUAUUGUGUUGGCGUUCUCUGCUCCUGAAAGGUGUGCUGAGGAAAAGGGUACCCCAGUCUCCCCUGCCCCGACAAACCUUGGUCUCAACCUAGACCUCCGUUGCCAUUCCUUACAGGAACCAGCUACGAGGCCUUCUGAAAAACCACCGUGUUUCUUUCCCGAUGAUGAAUGUGUGAGAUCCGCAGGGAUGGAGGUAUCAGCAGAGUGGCGCCACAGCGUGCUAUCCUUCUGACGCCCAUGGCUCUGUGUGAUCUUCAGUCGAGACGGACGGCUCGGUGUCUGUACCUGCAAACACAACCAGCUAGCAGGAGUUUGGAGACACAUCAACGUAAUGCUCAGCAUAAUGUUUCCGACUGAAAAGACUCCGAGGGGUAGAAUUUACUGGAGGAACGAACAUAAACCAUGACCUACCUUUAUUUCCCAAAAGUCUGUUCUUCAAAGACGCCACAAUGAAUGUGUGCUGAUAGAUGUCUACCUCUCUUCAUUGGGAAUUUAUGAGCCUGAUGACAUGAAGACUCCCAUCCCCAGUGCAGGUAGUACAAUAUUAAAAUCCUUUUGAUCUGCACUUCUUUGAUAUUCCUUAUUAAGGAUUCACUUUUUAGAUGUAAAUAUGAGGAGUCAAGGGAGCUGUUACAGGGUAACACCCACACGCUCGCUCUGUCACUUUGAAUGCUUUAAAGCCGAUGCCUGGAAGGAAAAAGAGAGAGUGAAAGUAAAAGGAUGCAAAACUGAUGCUUCCAGGGCCGAGUUCUGGUGACCUGUCCAGCGGCAGAAGCCACGUCUGGUGAGUGAUGAUACUGACACGUCCUCACUGAUGUUCUGCCAUUUGAAAAAGCCUGCUGUUGCCUUUUACAUUAUGUGAUUUUUUUUUUAAAUGAAUGAAUAAUAACAUUCCAAAAAUAAUACUAUUACUAAUAGUGUUAGCAUACAUUACAGUUAAGAUGAGUUUAGUUAGAUUCUUGUUUCAUAAAAAAAAGACUAAAUAAAAAGGACUGUGUUCUAAAACCUAAGAAAGGUCAUUUAGUAGUAUUUUGGUGACUUACAGUCUUCUACCUUCGAGGUUUAACUUCACGUAGUUUCAUUUUUUGAAGGUAAACUCCCCACUUCCCCUCAAGAUCAAAAGAAUUGUUCGAUUUUUAUUGUUGUGCAUAAACCAUUCAGUUGCAUGAGAACACAAAUUUUGUGUUGUUUUGUUUGUCUCUUAUACUGUA